rnacentral:rRNA from 1 species
AGAUUGAACGCUGGCGGCAGGCCUAACACAUGCAAGUCGAGCGGUAGAGAGGUGCUUGCACCUCUUGAGAGCGGCGGACGGGUGAGUAAUGCCUAGGAAUCUGCCUAGUGGUGGGGGAUAACGUUCGGAAACGGACGCUAAUACCGCAUACGUCCUACGGGAGAAGCGGGGGACCUUCGGGCCUCGCGCCAUUAGAUGAGCCUAGGUCGGAUUAGCUAGUUGUGAGGUAUGGCUCACAAGGCGACGAUCCGUAAUGGUCUGGAGAGGAUGAUCAGUCACACUGGAACUGAGACACGUCAGCUCCGUACGGGAGCAGCAGGUGGGAAUAGUAGGACAAGUGGGACGAAAGCCUAGACUCCGAGCCAGUCG